rnacentral:rRNA from 1 species
GACGAACGCUGGCGGCGUGCUUAACACAUGCAAGUCGAACGGAAAGGCCCUGCUUUUGUGGGGUGCUCGAGUGGCGAACGGGUGAGUAACACGUGAGUAACCUGCCCUUGACUUUGGGAUAACUUCAGGAAACUGGGGCUAAUACCGGAUAGGAGCUCCUGCUGCAUGGUGGGGGUUGGAAAGUUUCGGCGGUUGGGGAUGGACUCGCGGCUUAUCAGCUUGUUGGUGGGGUAGUGGCUUACCAAGGGUUUGACGGGUAGCCCGCCUGGGAGGGGGGACGGGCACAAGAGGACUAAGGGACGGAGCAGUAGGCAACAGGAGGCAAUGGGCGAGAAAAUUACACAAAGAGGCGGAGGCUGAGACGAAGGUGGCCGGAUCGGGAAGAAGGGCUAGUGGGUAGGAACCGAUGUCGGCUGAGACGAAGCCGUAGUGACGGUAAAGGGUAAAGAAGCACCGGCUAACUACGUG